UGUGUGUGUGAGACGUUGUGUUUGAUUGACAGGUGUAUACUGUAGUGUGUGUGGGACGUUGUAAUUGAUUGACAGGUGUAUACUGUAGUGUGUGACGUUGUGUUUGAUUGACAGGUGUAUACUGUAGUGUGUGACGUUGUGUUUGAUUGACAGGUGUAUACUGUAGUGUGUGACGUUGUGUUUGAUUGACAG